GCCUGUUAAGGAACUCAGCAAAUUGAUACCGUAACUUCGGGAGAAGGUAUUCCUUUGGUUGUUAGUGGACUUGCUCCACGAAGCAGUUAGAGGAGGCACGAAAUCGGGGGCUGCGACUGUUUACCAAAAACACAGGACUCUGCGAACACGAAAGUGGAUGUAUAGGGUCUGACGCUUGCCCGGUGCCGGAAGGUUAAUUGAUGGGGUCAGCCGCAAGGCGAAGCUCCUGAUCGAAGCCCCGGUAAACGGCGGCCGUAACAAUAACGGUCCUAAGGUAGCGAAAUUCCUUGUCGGGUAAGUUCCGACCUGCACGAAAAGCGUAACGCUGGCCCCACUGUCUCGACCCGAGACUCAGUGAAGUUGAAAUCGCUGUGAAGAUGCGGCGUAGCUGCGGAAAGACGGAAAGACCCCGUGAACCUUUACUACAGCUUUACACUGAACUUUGAACUUGUUUGUGUAAGAUAGGUGGGACCCUAUGAAGCGGAGGCGCUAGCUUUCGUGGAGGGAACGUUGAAAUACCACCCUGACAAUUUCGGAGUUCUAACCUUGGCCCGUUAUCCGGGCUGGGAACAAUGUAUGGUGGGUAGUUUGACUGGGGCGGUCUCCUCCCAAAGAGUAACGGAGGAGUGCAAAGGUACGCUCAGCGCGGUCGGUCAUCGCGCACAGAGUGCAAUGGCACAAGCGUGCUUAACUGUGAGACGUACAUGUCGAGCAGGUGCGAAAGCAGGUCAUAGUGAUCCGGUGGUUCUGUAUGGAAGGGCCAUCGCUCAACGGAUAAAAGGUACUCCGGGGAUAACAGGCUUAUUCCUCCCAAGAGUCCACAUCGACGGAGGAGUUUGGCACCUCGAUGUCGGCUCAUCACAUCCUGGGGCUGUAGCAGGUCCCAAGGGUUCGGCUGUUCGCCGAUUAAAGUGGUACGCGAGCUGGGUUCAAAACGUCGUGAGACAGUUUGGUCCCUAUCUUCCGUAGCCGUUGGAGAUUUGAGGGUGAGCUGUCCUUAGUACGAGAGGACCGGGAUGGACGUACCUCUGGUGUUCCGGUUGUCACUACAGUGGCACUGCCGGGUAGCUAUGUACGGACGGGAUAACCGCUGAAAGCAUCUAAGCGGGAAGCCCCCCCCAAGAUUAGAUCUCCCUGGGAACUUGAUUCCCCUAAAGGGCCGUCGAAGACUACGACGUUGAUAGGCUGGGUGUGUACAGGCAGUAAUGCCUUUAGCUAACCAGUACUAAUUGCCCGUGAGACUUGACCU
rnacentral:rRNA from 1 species